AACACAUGCAGUCGAGCGGUAACAGAAAGUAGCUUGCUACUUUGCUGACGAGCGGCGGACGGGUGAGUAAUGCUUGGGAACAUGCCUUGAGGUGGGGGACAACAGUUGGAAACGACUGCUAAUACCGCAUAAUGUCUACGGACCAAAGGGGGCUUCGGCUCUCGCCUUUAGAUUGGCCCAAGUGGGAUUAGCUAGUUGGUGAGGUAAUGGCUCACCAAGGCGACGAUCCCUAGCUGGUUUGAGAGGAUGAUCAGCCACACUGGGACUGAGACACGGCCCAGACUCCUACGGGAGGCAGCAGUGGGGAAUAUUGCACAAUGGGCGCAAGCCUGAUGCAGCCAUGCCGCGUGUGUGAAGAAGGCCUUCGGGUUGUAAAGCACUUUCAGUCAGGAGGAAAGGUUAGUAGUUAAUACCUGCUAGCUGUGACGUUACUGACAGAAGAAGCACCGGCUAACUCCGUGCCAGCAGCCGCGGUAAUACGGAGGGUGCGAGCGUUAAUCGGAAUUACUGGGCGUAAAGCGUACGCAGGCGGUUUGUUAAGCGAGAUGUGAAAGCCCUGGGCUCAACCUGGGAACUGCAUUUCGAACUGGCAAACUAGAGUGUGAUAGAGGGUGGUAGAAUUUCAGGUGUAGCGGUGAAAUGCGUAGAGAUCUGAAGGAAUACCGAUGGCGAAGGCAGCCACCUGGGUCAACACUGACGCUCAUGUACGAAAGCGUGGGGAGCAAACGGGAUUAGAUACCCCGGUAGUCCACGCCGUAAACGAUGUCUACUAGAAGCUCGGGUCCUCGGACUUGUUUUUCAAAGCUA
rnacentral:rRNA from 1 species